rnacentral:rRNA from 1 species
UACGAAGGGGGCUAGCGUUACUCGGAAUGACUGGGCGUAAAGAGCUCGUAGGCGGUUUGUCGCGUCUGCCGUGAAAGUCCGGGGCUCAACUCCGGAUCUGCGGUGGGUACGGGCAGACUAGAGUGAUGUAGGGGAGACUGGAAUUCCUGGUGUAGCGGUGAAAUGCGCAGAUAUCAGGAGGAACACCGAUGGCGAAGGCAGGUCUCUGGGCAUUAACUGACGCUGAGGAGCGAAAGCAUGGGGAGCGAACAGG